AUCCAGCGCUCCUCGGAGCAGUCUUCACUUUCAGAACACGUGUUACACGGAUCGCAAACGGGGACCGGUGUCUCUCAUACAUCAUUUUCCGUCAGGUGAAUUUUGGUAUCAUCCAAAGUGGCUUUUGCCCUGCAGCAUAAAAAAUUGGCCCGG